rnacentral:rRNA from 1 species
UACGAAGGUCCCAAGCGUUAUCCGGAUUCACUGGGUUUAAAGGGUGCGUAGGUGGGUUGGUAAGUCAGUGGUGAAAUCUCCAGGCUUAACUUGGAAACUGCCAUUGAUACUAUCAAUCUUGAAUACCGUGGAGGUCAGCGGAAUAUGUCAUGUAGCGGUGAAAUGCUUAGAUAUGACAUAGAACACCAAUUGCGAAGGCAGCUGGCUACACGAAUAUUGACACUGAUGCACGAAAGCGUGGGGAUCAAACAGG